rnacentral:misc_RNA from 1 species
GAUGAAGAACGUAGCGAAAUGCGAUACGUAGUGUGAAUUGCAGAAUUCAGUGAAUCAUCGAAUCUUUGAACGCACAUUGCGCCCUUUGGUAUUCCAAAGGGCAUGCCUGUUCGAGCGUCAUUUGUACCUUCAAGCUUUGCUUGGUGUUGGGCGUUUUUGUCUCCCUCUUUCUGGGAGACUCGCCUUAAAACGAUUGGCAGCCGGCCUACUGGUUUCGGAGCGCAGCACAUUUUUUGCGCUUUGUAUCAGGAGAAAAGGACGGUACUCCAUCAAGACUUUUACAAUUUUAACUUUUGACCUCGGAUCAGGUAGGGAUACCCGCUGAACUUAAGCAUAUCAAUAAGCGGAGGA